rnacentral:rRNA from 1 species
CCUACGUGUGGCAGCAGUCGAGAAUCAUUCACAAUGGGGGAAACCCUGAUGGUGCGACGCCGCGUGGGGGAAUGAAGGUCUUCGGAUUGUAAACCCCUGUCAUGUGGGAGCAAAUUAAAAAGAUAGUACCACAAGAGGAAGAGCCGGCUAACUCUGUUCCAGCCGCCGCGGUACUCCAGAGGUCUCAAGCGUUGUUCGGAAUCACUGGGCGUAACGGGUGCGUAGGCUGUUUCGUAAGUCGUGUGUGAAAGGCGCGGGCUCAACCCGCGGACGGCACAUGAUACUGCGAGACUAGAGUAAUGGAGGGGGAACCGGAAUUCUAGGUGUAGCAGUGAAAUGCGUAGAUAUCGAGAGGAACACUCGUGGCGAAGGCGGGUUCCUGGACAUUAACUGACGCUGAGGCACGAAGGCCAGGGGAGCGAAAGGGAUUAGAUACCCUAGUAGUC